AUUGAACGCUGGCGGCAGGCCUAACACAUGCAAGUCGAACGAGUGGCGGACGGGUGAGUAAUGUCUGGGAAACUGCCUGAUGGAGGGAGAUAAAUACUGGAAACGGUAGCUAAUACCGCAUAUCAUCAGCUGUGCCCUGAGGGGAGUAGCGUGUUGGUGGGGUAACGGCUAACCAAGGCGACGAUCACUAGCUGGUCUGAGAGGAUGACCGUCCACACUGGAACUGUGACACGGGCCAGACUCCGACGGGAGGCAGCAGUGGGGAAUAUUGCACAAUGGGCGCAAGCCUGAUGCAGCCAUGCCGCGUGUAUGAAGAAGGCCUUCGGGUUGUAAAACACUUUCAGCGGGGAGGCGUUACCCGCAGAGGAAGCACCGGCUAACUCCGUGCCAGCAGCCGCGGUAAUUC
rnacentral:rRNA from 1 species